rnacentral:tRNA from 1 species
GGUGGGGUGGCUGAGUGGCCGAAAGCACCGGUUUCGAAAACCGGCGAGUCGAAAGGCUCCCAGGGUUCAAAUCCCUGCCCCACCGCCA